UUAUCCCGUGCGGGAGAGUCCGAGCCAGCCUCGGCGCCGAAGGAGCAAAUCCUCCCCGGAACCUCUCAGGCGCAAGGACCGUGCGGGUGAG
rnacentral:ncRNA from 2 species